GGGACGAUGAUGAUGGUGCAACAACCAUCAAUGAUAGUGAGCUGGAGUCCACCUUGCCCUUCUACACCAAGAUGAGCGGGUGCCCUUGGGGAUCUUCGAGAACAGUUGGGGCUUGGGGGUGGCCAAGAGAGAUGAGGAGUUAGGGGAGAAGGCACUCGAUCAGGGCAAAUCCUGAAGUAUAUGCAUGGUGGAUGACACACAAUCAGGA
rnacentral:lncRNA from 1 species